rnacentral:rRNA from 1 species
GGAGAUUCAUCGUCAGCGGUGCUGGCACGCGGGCGGCCGGCGAUGCAGCGAGCGACCGUUCGCGCGGUCGCGCGCGGGCACGCCGCCCUCCGUCGAUUCGCAUUGCCCGGCACCGUCGGCGUGCACUUCUCCCCUAGUAGGACGUCGCGACCCGUUGGGUGUCGGUCGACGGGCCCGGGGUGGCAGCCUGUCUCGCGUGCGCCUCGCGGCGUUUCCAGCGUGACAGACCCCCGGGGUCUCAGAGCCCGACCGGCUGCCCGGCGGUACUCGCACGGUACAUGGCCGCAAUGUAAAUUGAGAACGCUGCGUCCCGCCCGUCGUCGGCACGGCRAGUGGUUCCCGGUGCGAGCGGAUCCRAUGCCGCCACCGAGCCUGGCCGGCCGCUCUUCGAAUGUGUGCGACGGGGCGUCGCGGGCGGUCCUCUCGCGGGGGCCGCUCCGGCGCGGGGGGACAGGCCAGUCAUGAAAAAUUACGAUACCGGUCGGCGACGCUHCUGCUUUGGGUACUUUCAGGACCCGUCUUGAAACACGGACCAAGGAGUCUAACAUGCGCGCGAGUCAUUGGGAAUGACUCAAGCCCAAAGGCGCAAUGAAAGUGAAGGUGGGCCCCGCGCCCACCGAGGGAGGAUGGAUCGCGGCGGCGGCGCGCUCAAGCGCGCGCACUCGUGCGUCGCGGCGGCGCGGCGCCCGCUCCCGCACUCCCGGGGCGUCUCGUUCUCAUCG